UGAUAAAUGUUUAUCAGCUGAAGUUCCAUGGUUAGCAGGUUGGAUGCAGAAGGAUCUACUCCUUCAAAAUCCUCCACUGUCUCCGAGGAAAACAUAUUGCAAGCAUCACUUGUAUAACAAGGAUUUGAUCUUUAGAGGCCCAGUGAUCGAAGAGAUGCCAUGUGGGAAAAAUGGUAUGAUGAUGGACACAUUCCAGUUUAGACUCCUUGUGGCAAAGACCAUGGCAAACGAAUCAUGUUGAUAAUGACUCAAAUUGUCAACAAAUAUUUUUACGAAUUGCCUGGUCGUAAAAACACAACUAGUUUAGCAGAUUUUGCUUAAAAAGAUAUUUGUUGGGCAAUAGUUGCUGCUGAGGUUUUUGCAUGACUACAUCAAGAAGGAAGCAAUUUUAGAAGAGGGGCGUUAUUGCAAACUUAUAGGUAGAAAAAGGAAGCGAAGAAAAAGGAUACUGGAGCAGGUAUAGGAAGAAAGAAAAAAAAUUCUCAUUUUUUUUUCUUUUUUAUUUAUUCUAAUUCUCCUUCUUGUAGAUGAGAAAUUUUAUAUUUGUGGGUGGAUAUGAAAGUGUGGAUCACAAAGAUGAAGAAGCAAUCAUGGAAAGAAAUAAAGAAGACCUAUUUACGGGUUCAAUUUAUGAGGGUCCGAUACAAGACCCGAAUCCAGAAGAAAAAACAUUAUAUCACACGGUGCUACUAAUAGGAUUUUGAAGCAAGUAUGGCAAAAACGUUUGGAUCAUCAAAAACAAUUGGGACAAAAAAUAGUUGGCUAUGCAAAAAUUGUUGUGUGUGUUUUUUUU